GACCCAUUAGUCAAGUGGUUAAGACGUGACACUUUCACUGUUAGUGCCCGGGUUCGAACCCCGGAUGGGUUAACA
rnacentral:tRNA from 1 species